UACGAAGGGAGUUAGCGUUGUUCGGAAUUACUGGGCGUAAAGGGUGCGUAGGCUGUUUGUUAAGUUAGAUGUGAAAGCCUUGGUUUCAAGCUAAGAAUAGCAUUUAAUACUGACAAGCUAGAGGGUAAGAGAGGAUAGUGGAAUUCUGAGUGUAGAGGUAAAAUUCGUAGAUAUUCAGAGGAACACCAGAGGCGAAAGCGUCUAUCUGGAUUACCCCUGACGCUGAGGCACGAAAGUAUGGGGAGCAAACAGG
rnacentral:misc_RNA from 1 species